rnacentral:rRNA from 1 species
AGUGAACGCUGGCGGUAGGCCUAACACAUGCAAGUCGAACGGCAGCACAGUAAGCGCUUGCUCUUACGGGUGGCGAGUGGCGGACGGGUGAGGAAUACAUCGGAAUCUACUUUUUCGUGGGGGAUAACGUAGGGAAACUUACGCUAAUACCGCAUACGAUCUACGGGUGAAAGCAGGAGAUCUUCGGACCUUGCGCGAUUGUAUGAGCCGAUGUCGGAUUAGCUAGUUGGCGGGGUAAAGGCCCACCAAGGCGACGAUCCGUAGCUGGUCUGAGAGGAUGAUCAGCCACACUGGAACUGAGACACGGUCCAGACUCCUACGGGAGGCAGCAGUGGGGAAUAUUGGACAAUGGGCGCAAGCCUGAUCCAGCCAUACCGCGUGAGUGAAGAAGGCCUUCGGGUUGUAAAGCCCUUUUGUUGGGAAAGAAAAGCAGCAGGUGAAUACCCCGCUGUUCUGACGGUACCCAAAGAAUAAGCACCGGCUAACUUCGUG